rnacentral:lncRNA from 1 species
GUGACUCUCGCCGGCGGGGAGGGGCGUGGACCCAAGAAGUCCCUGUGCGCUUGCGCAGAGACCGAACUACCGCUUUCCCCGUAACCAGGGAGACUGCAGUUUGCAGUGAUGUGGCUAAGAUACCCUUGUGCUAUUAAAGGCACAUUUACGUAUCUUUCAACGCAGUUUGUACCUUUGUUUAGGGUUCUAUUGAACUUUCUCUGUGCUCUUUAGAAAACCGUCGAAUAAAGGUAACCAUCUUUUUGGGUGCCUGGGCAUGGUCAUUGUCCCAGAGUUUUAACAGAAGUCUCUACUAAAGUAUCCUGAUUUGCAAGAACUCAAAUGAUGCUGUUUUUGGACAGGGAGGUCAUGGACCAAGUACAAAGCGGCAAAAGGAUGGAAUUAAGGUACCUGACAUUGUUGAACCCAUGCCUGAUGCCACAUUAGCUCAGGACUACCUACAUGGACAUGGAUAUUUCCAGUGAAAGAAAGAAGAAAGCAUGCUUUUCUCUUGACUGUGCAGAAAAAAAAACUAUGUUUCUUUGAUUCUCCAUUUUACUAGAUGCCAUACCUUUGCAAUUACUUCAUGUGGAGUCUUGACCAAGAUUCAGGAAAUACUAGAACUUUCAGUCCCAGAAGGUUACUCUGGGCAUUACUAGUCCCCAUCAUUAUGAGUUGAGUUUUACUAGUUAAUUUCAGACGAAAAAUAUUUGUUUUUCCCCAAAUUCUGGGGUUACGUACUUUUACUACCUAUGAACUGACAACUGUAUCUUCAGUAAUUACAAUUUCCAACAAAAUGUUAUAGGAAUAAAGAAAAGAUGUUAGUUCAUUAUUCAGAGUUUAUGUUUAUUCCUUUAAUAAAAAGAAAUGGUCUGUAUUUCUUCUUUUCACAUUUAUUUCCUCAGUUCAAACCUGCUUUUCAGGUUAUCCUAUGACUUGAAGUUGACUAAUUUGUUCACCUUAAUUAGUUGUGUUGCAAUAUAUAUGUAAUUAGCUAUUUGCAUUGCAACCUGCACAAAAUUAUUCCUGUUCAUAAACUACUGAGAGGAAAGGGGCUUAAAGUUCAAAGGAGUUUAAUUAUGGUCUUGUAACCAUAUAGAAAAUAUUUGAAUGUUACAUUGGCAUUGGCUCUAUUGCAUUAAAAGAAGUUAUGAAUGACGAAUUGGCAAAGAUUUGCAAGGUGAUGAGUUUAAUCUUGUCUGUAUAAACCUAGACAGAUUUGUUUGCCUAUAAA